CGUGUGUCAGUAUGUAGUGUGCUGGAAGGAUCGCCGUAGUUCGGAGAUCGCGCUACUCAGCCACGACGCGGCGACGGCUCCGCUACGAGGGGAGUCCUGGUUACGAGUUACUGGUGGUAGGACCUCUUGUGAGUCCGCACGGAUCACAGCAUCGCUAAAGAUCUUCAAUCGUCUCAUCGGGAUGACUCAAGUGGAGGCUGGACCUGUACUACAGGCUAAAGUGCCCCGGGGCUUCAGUUCUGAGUCUUUAUCGGGGUCAGUCUCCUUGUUCUCAUGUUUUUAUUGUCAUGUGUAUUUUCAGUAGCCAUAAGACAGGAGAACUUGAAUUCGGAAUAUUUAUUUGUAACUAUACUUUGUUUAAAAGAUGAUCCAAAUUAGAUUUGAGGUGUGCAUAUGUGCACAUCCGCUUGCGCCACCGCCUCACAGAAUCCAUAAAAUAACGUAUCAAUGCUGAACUUAAGCAAGUGUUAUCUGUGCAAGUCGUGAAAAUAUUAGGAUAGGAGAGGAGUCGUGCCCAACACCAUUUUAUAAAUAUCUUCGAAUGAGUCCAUCCCGCAGUUGGGCCAGCAAACUGGGCCAACUUGUGUUAAGUCAUUACCAGAGGCAGUGGACAAACCAACCUGAUUGUCUCCACCCAACUUGUAUAGAGGCUGUAGGAUGGGACUACAAACCGAAUUGCAUGGCACGUCACGCCACAACUCAGCAAGAUGAGGCAGCGCCUACCUACCGCGCCACUCCAAGCAUUCUCGUUUUUCGUUAUAACAUGCAAGAAAUAAAGACUCCAUCCAAUAUCGUUAGAACGACCUCAUCAGGGAUCCCAUCUAUUCCACCUUUCUUCAGUAUUUCCGUCACGCCCUAGGCCGCAGGAAGUAGCCACAGUUUGUGGUGAAAACAGUGGAACGUCAGAGGCAUGUUUGAAAAGAAUCCUCACCCUUCGCAGGAAGCGAUGGGGUAGUAAAUGGACGUGGUAGUGGUGCGCACAAUAUUAUUUAUAUUUGAACAUCGCCGAGGCACUUUGACUGUUUGUUCACUGCUACUGUCGCAAAAUCUUGUUUGCUUAUCAUGUUAUGGAUUGACAUCAAUGUUCGUCUUAUCAAACAUUACUGUGCAAAUAAUUAUAGAUUUCAACAAUGUUA